GGGAACUUAGCUCAGCUGGUUAGAGUGCCUGCUUCACACGCAGGAGGUCGGCGGUUCGAGCCCGCCAGCUCCCACCA
rnacentral:tRNA from 1 species